UACGGAGGGUGCGAGCGUUAUCCGGAAUCACUGGGUUUAAAGGGUGCGUAGGCGGUCUGAUAAGUCAGUUGUGAAAUUCCUCGGCUUAACCGAGUGGACUGCGAUUGAUACUGUCAGACUUGAAUCAGGUUGAGGUAGGCGGAAUGUGACAUGUAGCGGUGAAAUGCUUAGAUAUGUCAUAGAACACCGAUUGCGAAGGCAGCUUGCUGGGCUUAGAUUGACGCUGAGGCACGAAAAGCGUGGGGAGCAAACAGG
rnacentral:rRNA from 1 species